UACGGAGGGGGCGAGCGUUAUUCGGAAUUAUUGGGCGUAAAGGGCGCGUAGGCGGCUGUACAAGUCAAAGGUGAAAUCCCUCGGCUCAACUGAGGAACUGCCUUUGAAACUGUACGGCUUGAGGCCGGGAGGGGGUAGCGGAAUUCCCAGUGUAGCGGUGAAAUUCGUAGAUAUCGGGAGGAACACCAGUGGCGAAGGCGGCGACCUGGACGGACACUGACGCUGAGACGCGAAAGCGUGGGGAGCAAACAGG
rnacentral:rRNA from 1 species